rnacentral:rRNA from 1 species
GAUGAACGCUGGCGGCGUGCCUAAUACAUGCAAGUCGAGCGAACAGACGAGGAGCUUGCUCCUCUGACGUUAGCGGCGGACGGGUGAGUAACACGUGGAUAACCUACCUAUAAGACUGGGAUAACUUCGGGAAACCGGAGCUAAUACCGGAUAAUAUAUUGAACCGCAUGGUUCAAUAGUGAAAGACGGUUUUGCUGUCACUUAUAGAUGGAUCCGCGCCGCAUUAGCUAGUUGGUAAGGUAACGGCUUACCAAGGCAACGAUGCGUAGCCGACCUGAGAGGGUGAUCGGCCACACUGGAACUGAGACACGGUCCAGACUCCUACGGGAGGCAGCAGUAGGGAAUCUGCCGCAAUGGGCGAAAGCCUGACGGAGCAACGCCGCGUGAGUGAUGAAGGUCUUCGGAUCGUAAAACUCCGUUAUUAGGGAAGAACAAAUGUGUAAGUAACUAUGCACGUCUUGACGGUACCUAAUCAGAAAGCCACGGCUAACUACGUG